rnacentral:rRNA from 1 species
UCUGAGAGGAUGAUCAACCACACUGGGACUGAGACACGGCCCAAACUCCUACGGGAGGCAGCAGUGGGGAAUAUUGGACAAUGGGGGCAACCCUGAUCCAGCCAUGCCGCGUGAGUGAAAAAGGCCUUAGGGUUGUAAAGCUCUUUUGGCGGGGACGAUAAUGACGGUACCCGCAGAAUAAGCCCCGGCUAACUUCGUGCCAGCAGCCGCGGUAAUACGAAGGGGGCUAGCGUUGUUCGGAAUCACUGGACGUAAAGCGUACGCAGGCGGAUUGAUAAUUCAGGGGUG